rnacentral:lncRNA from 1 species
GUAUUGAUUUGAGAAUGAUAAAGAUGCAUGGUUCAUAGUAUGUUGACCAUGUCAGAUAAUUGGAAGAGAUAUGUUGUUUUAGUGAGAUAUGGAGAGUUAGUGUAAAAUAUGAGUUGUAUUGAAUUAGAAGGUGGGAUUUGUAGAUAGAAGUUGAUAGAUGAAAAGUGCAUGAUAGAGAGUAUGUGGAGUUGAGUCCAGUUAUUAGAGGUGAUGUCUGCGAGUAAGUUAGAACGUUAGUCCUCGACAACGACGCUUUAAGUUAAGCGGGACAAGGUGGGCCCAUAACCCACAGGGUGACGAUUCAGAAAAUCAAUGAUAUGCUACGUGUUUUUGCUAUUGACUUCACAGAUAAUGGGGAUGAAGUGGAGGCCAAGACUUAUUACGAACGAUAACGUCUACUAUGAAUUUUACAAGGCUGCUACGAACGAAAGUCAAUCAACUAUCGAGAACGUUGAAAGGAUGACAUAAAUCGAAUAACGAUUUCGUAAAGUAGAAUGGGAAUUUGAGAAGACCUUGGCAAUAACUCUCUUCAACUAAAGAUUCUUUUGAUUAUGUUCUUGAUCAGUGAGUUAUUAUGAUAUCAUUUCGAUAAAUGAGAUUUUCAAUUUCUUAAAUUCUAAGAUGAUAAUGAUAUUGAUUAUUGGUGUGAGUUAGUAUUGAAUCGGUGUAUGAUAAAGGCGUGUUUAUGAAGAGACAGUGGAAUUCCUUGAUAUUCUUUGAUAUCCCUUGAUAUUCUUCCAUAUUCUUUGAUAUCCCUUAAUAUUCAUUGAUAUUCUUUGACACUCUUUGAUAUUCUUUGAUAUCUUUUCGAUAUUCCUUAAUAUAUUCCUCG